UUACUUCACAGUACACAUCAUAAAAUUGGAAAGAUACAUAGAAGACUGGCAUGGCCCCUGUGCAAGGAUUCAUAGAAUUCCUAUAGUGUGGAAACAGGCCCUU